rnacentral:rRNA from 1 species
UACGGGGGGAGCAAGCGUUGUUCGGAUUUACUGGGCGUAAAGGGCGCGUAGGCGGCAAUUCAAGUCAGCUGUGAAAUCUCCGGGCUUAACUCGGAACGGUCAGCUGAUACUGCUUUGCUAGAGUGCAGAAGGGGCAAUCGGAAUUCUUGGUGUAGCGGUGAAAUGCGUAGAUAUCAAGAGGAACACCUGAGGUGAAGACGGGUUGCUGGGCUGACACUGACGCUGAGGCGCGAAAGCUAGGGUAGCAAACGGG